CAGGUGGUAAGAUAUAAUCCCUCCCUGUGCCAGCGAUUAAUCCCCCUCUCUCUCUCUCUCUUUAUCCUCUUUCUUUGGCUGUUUCAUGUUCAAUUUUCUUUGUAUCUCACACCGAAUAAUCUGCUGCAUCUCGCUUUGUUCAUCUUCUUUCUGUCUCUGUUUCAUCUUCAGAUUUGUUCUUAUCUCAACUUCAAUGACUGUGGUGGUAAGAUAUGCUCCACCAAGAUAAUCAUAUGGCUGAAAGAUUUCGUUUUAUCUCAAGUUUAUCGAUUUCGACAUCAACGAUUAAUCGAAGGUCAUUGUGUAAGAAACCUGGGUCACUGACUUGAACGUUGGCCUGCUAUGUGUUUGUGAAAUUGCCAACUCCAAUUACUUACCCAUCCCAAGGUAAAUAUUUUGUAGUUUGAUUUAGUCCACUGAGUAUAUUUGGGGACGAUAAUCAUGAGUUUUAUGGAUAACUUAAAAACUCUUAAGUGUUAGGUAUUACUGGGUGUAAUUGGGUGUUAAUAGUGAAUUUGGCAGUGCAGGCGAAUUUGCUAUGAAUGGCUUAAUUGAAGGUAUUGGUUAGUCAUAAAUAUUUUUAUUUGAUCAUGGCAUGAAAAGUAAAAGAACUUGUGAAUGAAUUAUGGAGAAAAAAAAUUGACGAAUCAGAAUCCGACCUCAAAGUAGAUAGAAGAAUUCUUUAGUCAUAUGGUUUUGCUGCAUAUGCCAGACAAUAGAUCCUUUAUGUAGAUUAUUGGGGAAAAGCCAAUGAGGCAAUAUCCAUGUCAAAGAGAAAUUGACUGGAACCACUGCAAAUUUGAAAUAAGAAACUCUUCCCUAUAUUUUCAAGGUUACAUAUUUAAAUUUGUUCAAAAUUUGCAGGCAGACCGAUAAUUUUCUCAUAACAUAUCCAUAUUAAUAAAGAUUUAAACUCCAUAACUCAAGUAUUGACAUGUAGAAUUAUUCAAUCUCAAUUAUUCUAUGAAUUUGCAAUUUGCUUUAGCUAUGAGGUGCCAGUUUCUCUUAACACUACAACUGGUUACCCACUUAAAUAUUUUUGAUCAGUUUGAAGUCAAAACGAAUUUGAUAUUCUUUUGUAGCACGUUCAUUGAGGAAAAACUGGAAGAAUUGAAAUUGAUGUUCGAUUCACUAGCUGCACAAUUUCUCCUAUUUUUAAGAUAUUUUUUGUCAAAUUUUCAGCUUUUUCCCAAUGAAAUCAUGAAUUGCAUAUUUAUAAAUAUAGGGUUAUAUCAGAAUUGAGGGGCGGUAUAUGUCACAUCAAAAAUACAGGUGUCUAUUUUCUAAUAGUAUAGGUGGAUUUCUUCUAUGAGUACAUGUGUGAAUACUUCAUCGUGAAGUUAAGAAGUUUACUUCAGGUACCAUUUAAUUUGUUUAAGCUAUUGAAGGGUAAUAUCUAAUUUUAGUUCUAAAAAUUUUAAAACAAAAUUAUAUAUAUAGUAUAUAGUAAUAAUUAAAGUUACAACUGUAGUAUAUAGUAUAUAUAUGU